rnacentral:lncRNA from 1 species
CCUUAGAAUGGAAUUGCUCUUCUUAUUGAAUUCCCAACCUGUCUUUCUUACUUACCUUCUACCAACCACAACCCUCCACUCCAGGUACUAAAUUGUGAAACUGCACCAGGUACGCCAGGUACUAAAUUGUGAAGUUCUGAAGGAUAAGCUCAAAUGCUGCUGCUUCUCUACAGCUUUCCAUGACCCGCCAAGAAGAAAAGGAAAUUUGAAUACACAAAGAGACACAAGGGAUGACAUGCACAGAGGGAUGACCAUGAAGAGCCAGCAAGAGUGGCCACUUGCCAGCCAAGGAGAAAGGCCCCAGAAGAAACCAAACCUGCCGACACCUUGAUCUUGGACUUCUCACCUCCAAAGCUAUGAAAAAUAAAUUUCUGUUAAGC